rnacentral:misc_RNA from 1 species
GAAAUGCGAUAUGUAGUGUGAAUUGCAGAAUUCAGUGAGCCAUCAAAAUCUUGAACGCAACUUGCACUUAUAGGUUAACCUAUAAGUAUAUCUAUCAGAGUGCCAUUUUUUUAAAAACAUCUUUGAGAAGAAGCUUUUUUCUCAAACUAAUUAGAUGUUCAAAGAGGUCAAUCUCUUUUAUCAUCUCAAAUUGAUUUUGUGAAAAGAUUUCUCUUUUAAACUUUAAAAAAAAUCACAUACAAGAGAUAUUAAUUCUCCCAAAAGUGAUUUUUUGUAAGAGAUCUCUUCAAAAAAAGAAAGAAGAAAUUUACAUUUUCUACUUCCAAAAUCAUACUUGGCCUCUGAUUAGAUAAGAUUUACCUGCUAAACUUAA